AGUCCAUGCCGUAAACGAUGAGUGCUAGGUGUUGGAGGGGUUUCCGCCCUUCAGUGCCGCAGCUAAACGCAUUUAAGCACUCCGCCUGGGGAGUACGACCGCAAGGUUGAAACUCAAAGGAAUUGACGGGGGCCCGCACAAGCGGUGGAGCAUGUGGUUUAAUUCGAAGCUACGCGAAGAACCUUACCAGGUCUUGACAUCUUGCGCUAACCUAAGAGAUUAGGCGUUCCCUUCGGGGACGCAAUGACAGGUGGUGCAUGGUCGUCGUCAGCUCGUGUCGUGAGAUGUUGGGUUAAGUCCCGCAACGAGCGCAACCCUUGUUACUAGUUGCCAGCAUUCAGUUGGGCACUCUAGUGAGACUGCCGGUGACAAACCGGAGGAAGGUGGGGACGACGUCAGAUCAUCAUGCCCCUUAUGACCUGGGCUACACACGUGCUACAAUGGCCGGUACAACGAGCAGCUAACCCGCGAGGGUGUGCAAAUCUCUUAAAGCCGGUCUCAGUUCGGACUGCAGUCUGCAACUCGACUGCACGAAGUCGGAAUCGCUAGUAAUCGCGGAUCAGCAUGCCGCGGUGAAUACGUUCCCGGGCCUUGUACACACCGCCCGUCACACCAUGGAAGUUUGCAAUGCCCAAAGUCAGUGGCCUAACCAUUUUGGAGGGAGCUGCCUAAGGCAGGGCAGAUGACUGGGGUGAAGUCGUAAACA
rnacentral:rRNA from 1 species